rnacentral:lncRNA from 1 species
GAUAUUCAUUAAAAGCAAGAGUGUCUAUACAAUUUCAGGACUAUGAAAUUAAAUAUAUAAACCCGUGUCUCUUUGUUAGGGCUACAUCCAGCCUGGAGAAAAGCUCAGCCUUCCAUGAAGAGUUGAACAGUGGCAGCACCGAGAGCUUCCAUUUUUUCUUUUCUUCCUCCCCUCCCUUCUCUGUCUCCCGUGGGAACUCCUCCGAAGGAUGGAUGGGAACCGAUGGGUGAGAAGAAUACCUUCUCUGUUCACGCCUGGGCCUUUUAUAGGCUGCAUACCUCCCCCUCUCCUCCCCUGUUCCAAGUGGGAAGAUAAGAACACGGGAUGCACGUGGGAUAUCUUGGAGAUUUGCUGGGAUUGGAGCUUAUCCGGAAGAAGGUUGGGAUGCUGAGAACGAACGCCUGGGCAGAAUCUGCGGACGAUGGAAGCCGAUCGCGAAUGGGAGGGAGGCUGCGAACGUGGAGCGAAGUGAAUCGCGUUCGGGCUGUUGGAUGAAGAGCUGGGUUCGCGUGGUAGGAAUUCGUCCGUGAAAUUUGGGAAGAUAAACUCGAUCGCAGAGCUGUGGAGGACGUGAUCUGAUCCUAACGGAGAGUUCGGAAUCCAUGGAUGCUAGAGACGAAGCUCCCCUGCUUUGUUUUGUUUCCGUGAAGUCUGGGAAGAGGAAUCGGAAGCCAUGAUACGAGAGAUCGGCUCUGUUCUUUGGAUACUUGCAGUUGGCAGCUGGAUAAGGAUCACGCUGAGAUGCAUGGACGCGGAAGGAGCUGGGACGUGGAGAAGGCUCUGAUCGGGACGUUGGGAAGAGGAUGAGCUGGGAGCUGAUGCAUUGAUUCGCUGGAUCCGUGAAGCUCGCCGAACGGCUGGAUUGGUUGAAAAUCUGCUGGGAGCGAAAGGAAAGGAGUUGCUUUGAUUCGUGAUGAAGAGGAGAUGAUUUAGGAGCAGGGGAUGUGAAGUAAUCGAUUGAUUAGUUGCAAUUUGUUGGGAAUUUUGUUCUUCACAGCUGAAACAGAGGAUUCGGUUUGGGAACAGGGGACGAUGCAGUUGGGAUGAAGAUUGAAUCUAUUGGAUGCAGGGGAUGGCGUGGACGAUGCUCGCGGCUGAGAGGACUUGAUCCUUCGAUGCUGGAAAGUUUGCUGGGAUUUGAGUUUAUCCCAAACGGGAUGACGAAAAGAUCACGAACGGGAUGAGCGUGGGACGUUGAGAUCAAUCUGGAAGAGAAGGACAAUGAAGUUAAUCCGAAAUGCUAGGAAGAAUGCUGCGAACGCUCAUCCUGGCUGGGAUCUAGCGGAAGAAGCUGGCUUGAUUCGGAAGAGGAAAGACACGGCUCUGUUUAUUGGACACGGGAGAUCUCAUGCAGGAUGCCCACGGGAUACUCGGACACAAUUGAAUGUGAGUGGCUGAGGUGUGAAGUAGAGGAUGCGAGGGCGUUGCUUGGAAUGGUUGGGCUCUGCUUCACGUGCCGAGAAAGGAAGUUGAAGUUGGGAUCGACUCGGAAGGAUGUGGAGUCGACUCCAAUUAGUUGGGGUCGACUUGAGAUGGCUGGAGUCAACUCCAAUGAAGUUGGCUAGGAGGAUGGGUCUAUUUUGAGGUUAAAAACAAAGGAAGUUUGGGUAUGUGGAAAGAAAGAGGCUUGUUCGCAUGGAGAAAAAGAAAUUGAUGGGAUGCAGUGGGUCCAGGCAUCAUCCAAUUGAGUUUGAUUCGACCUGCAUGCAUUAGGCUUGAUCAACAAAUAAUCAAAUCAAACUUGAAUUACCUCUAUUUAUUAAAAUGUGCUGAUGAAAG